rnacentral:rRNA from 1 species
GCGCGUAGGCGGGAUGGCAAGUCAGAUGUGAAAUCUCGGGGCUCAACCCCGAAACUGCAUUUGAAACUGUUAUUCUUGAGUACUGGAGAGGUUGACGGAAUUCCUAGUGUAGCGGUGAAAUGCGUAGAUAUUAGGAGGAACACCAGUGGCGAAGGCGGUCAACUGGACAGCAACUGACGCUGAGGCGCGAAAGCGUGGGGAGCAAACA